rnacentral:rRNA from 1 species
UACUCCUACGGGAGGCAGCAGUGAGGAAUAUUGGUCAAUGGGCGAGAGCCUGAACCAGCCAAGUAGCGUGCAGGAAGACGGCCCUAUGGGUUGUAAACUGCUUUUGUAUGGGGAUAAAGUCAAUCACGUGUGAUUGUUUGCAGGUACCAUACGAAUAAGGACCGGCUAAUUCCGUGCCAGCAGCCGCGGUAAUACGGAAGGUCCGGGCGUUAUCCGGAUUUAUUGGGUUUAAAGGGAGCGUAGGCUGGAGAUUAAGUGUGUUGUGAAAUGUAGACGCUCAACGUCUGACUUGCAGCGCAUACUGGUUUCCUUGAGUACGCACAACGUUGGCGGAAUUCGUCGUGUAGCGGUGAAAUGCUUAGAUAUGACGAAGAACUCCGAUUGCGAAGGCAGCUGACGGGAGCGCAACUGACGCUGAAGCUCGAAGGUGCGGGUAUCGAACAGGAUUAGAUACCCUGGUAGUCCGCACAGUAAACGAUGGAUGCCCGCUGUUGGUACCUGGUAUCAGCGGCUAAGCGAAAGCAUUAAGCAUCCCACCUGGGGAGUACGCCGGCAACGGUUAAACUCAAAGGAAUUGACGGA